GGUUAAGCGACUAAGCGUACACGGUGGAUGCCCUGGCAGUCAGAGGCGAUGAAGGACGUGCUAAUCUGCGAAAAGCGUCGGUAAGGUGAUAUGAACCGUU
rnacentral:rRNA from 2 species